UUCUUGUUCUAAGCAACAGGUUUGUGGUA
rnacentral:piRNA from 1 species